UCGUGAAUCAGAAUGUCACGGUGAAUACGUUCCCGGGCCUUGUACACACCGCCCGUCACACCAUGGGAGUGGGUUGCUCCAGAAGUAGAUAGCCUAACCUUCGGGGGGGCGUUUACCACGGAGUGAUUCAUGACUGGGGUGAAGUCGUAACAAGGUAGCCCUAGGGGAACCUGGGGCUGGAUCACCUCCUUA
rnacentral:ncRNA from 1 species